rnacentral:lncRNA from 1 species
UUCCGAUAAGGUUUCCGUGCGAUUGCUGAACACGCAGGUGACGAGAUCUACGGGUAAACUCGGUUCUCUGUGUUGGAUUUUAUGAAAUUGGAGGAUUAGGUAAAACAACAACCGCUGUAAAAUCUCAUCUCCAUUAUAGUUAGUUGUUGUUUUUCCUAUUCCACCAAUUUCAUGUAUCACUGUUGUGAGAACGCGGGUUCUUAGUCUCUGUCUUUCAAUGGCUACUUCCAUCGAACGUUAAUCUUUGCAUCAGGAGAACACAGGUACACUGCCUUCUUACUCCGCUUCGAUCUCCAACUAAAUUCAUUUUAAGAUUAUUAACUCAUUUUUUUGUUUUUUUUACUUAUUUUUCUCGAUUUUGGCCAGAAAUUAGUUGACGGAUAUGAGAGUUUUAGGGUUUACUGGUUGUCUGUUUAUAAGAGAUGUUUGAUACUUUUGGAUCUGAUUUCUUCAACUUACAAAAUCUGUUAUCUCAAAAUUGUGAGAUUAAACUUAGUGAACAACAUAAACAAACUUAAAAUGCUUCUACGUAUCCUGAAUUGAUUUUAAGAAAACUUAACUUAUCUGUUAUAAAUUAAUACUUUUAAAUUAAUAGAAGACACUCAUUUCUUGUCAUUUUUCAACCAACUGCUGAGUUAAUUUUAUGGACAGGAUACACAAACAACUGUACUUAUUAUACAUUUUCUUUUCUUUUCUCAUUAUAUUAUAUAUAUUUUAUAAAUCUAUAUUUGUUAUUAUGCUCUUUUUUUAUUAUAUUAUAUACCAUAUAAAUUUAUUAUUACUAUUUUUUCUUUCUUAGGUGUACAUUAAUGUUUUAGGUGCACUGAAACAUUUUCCUAAUUUUAUUAUACAUUAUUUAAAGUCCGUGGAGACAAUUAUUUUUGAAAGUAUGUUUAGAAAAAUAUAUUAAUUUAUGUAUAAAUUAAUUUUAAUUUUUGGAUAAUUUUUUUAAACUUUAUAUACUAAUGCUCUUAUAAGGGAUUUUAUUAUUUGAUUUUUUACACCUAGAAUAUGUUUUAAUUGUGCAUUUUUUAAUAUAAAACGUGUAAUAGAUUUGGUCUAUGGCAUGUACUUCUCUUUAACCUUUAUACUUUAUACUUGCUGAAUGGUUAAAAUUUUCCUUAAAAUGAAUGAAAAUUAAUAUAAAAAUUACUAUUAUUGUCGAAAACACAUGCGUGUCGUAUGUGGAUUGAUACUUUUAUAAUCUAUUAUUUUUAUGUUUAAUUAAUAAAAAAAGGAAAAUACUGUAAUUUAUAAAAAUAAUAUUAAAAAAGUAUAUGUAUUACAUAAGAGUGCUUGUGACCUCAACCCAGGUAUUUGGGAGAGGUCUGUUUGGCGUUUGGCCCAAGAGGUGAACAUGAGUUAGAGAUUAAGAGGUUGAAUGUUCAAGAAAGUAGAGAUAAACAUGUGAGAAACCUUACCCUGAAGGCUGUUGUACACAAAAAGUGUCAAGACUCAAGUGAUGAUAGUGAAGGAGAAACACUAAGCUUGUUGACCAGGAAAUUCAACAAAUUCCUAAAGAAAAACAACAAGAAUCAAUUUUCCAACAGGUAUAAUAGCAAGAAAUUCAAUGAUUUUAACCCUAACAAAUAUAUUUGCUUUGGUUGUGGUGAACAUGGACAUAUUAAAGCUAAUUUCCCUAAUAAUGAGAGCAAAGAAAGAACAACAAGCAAGAAAGGUGAAAGAAAGACAAAGCUAAGAAAGCCUACAUUGCUUGAGAAGAUAAUGAAGUUUCUUCAUCUAGUUCAUCUUCAGGAGGUGAAGAAGCUAACCUCUGCUUAAUGGCUAAGGCAAAAUCUGUCACGAGCUGUGUAACUUCCAACACUUCAAUUAAUUUUGAAAACUACAGCCACUUUUUAAUGCUUUUAAAGAAACUUAUGAAGAAGUUAAUAGGCUAGCCCUUUCAAAUAACCAGUUGAAAGGCUUGACUAAUUGGUUGGAAAAUAGAAUCAAAACAUUGGAAGAAGAACUAGAAAAUUUGAAAAAUGAUUUUCAAAAUCUCGAAUUGAUUUACAAAAAUUCUUCUUGCAAAUGUGACUUAAGUGUUUGUGAAAAUUGUGAAUCUCUUCAAAAGAAGGUUCAUUAUCUUGUGAAAACUGUGGAUAAGCUUUCAAAAGAAAAAUCAAAUUUUGAGACUGUUCUGACAUCUUAAAUUUGUGUUAUUUUGAAAAUCUUGAUUGGAUUUUAAUGCACAAAGCAAGAAAAGUAGUAUUUCAAAGCCUUAUUCAACCAUCAGGGAAAAACAACCGAUUGAAAAGUCGAAACAACCGGUUGUUUCAUGCUUUUAUUGUAUAAAAAUGGUCAUUUUGUCAGAUUCUGUAAAAUUAUAAAGUUUUUUUGUUCCCAAAGGUAUUCUUAAAUGGGUUCUUGAUGACUUUUUAUGACAAGUGCACCACAUUGUUAGAAGUAAUAAUUGUCCCUAAGGACGAAUAUCGAUCCCACGAGGAACAAUGAAUUAUCGAGUACAAUAUUCGUUAAAUAUAAAAUAAAAUAAUAAAAAAAUGUUUGGAAAUUGUUAUAAUGACAAGAAUUAACAAGAAAACAAAUCAAAGAGUAAUUGCGUCAAUUGAAAAAAUGGGGGUUAGGUUUCAUCUGUUUCACUCUCAUGUAUUUUGAUUAAUAUGUUAACAUUAAGUUCUUUGAUUGAGAUUGUUGCCCAUAUAAAAGUCAUUUAUAUCGAUUCUUCGCAUAUAAAAUUAUUAAGAAUGUUUCAUAACUAUCAACCUCUCGCAUAAUUAUAAGAACAACUUAUAACGAAGCUUAGACAUUAAUAACAAUUAACAUUUCAAAGAUAUUUCUAGCACUCAAAUAUGUUAAGUAUUGUUGUUUAGGUCAGAAUCCUAAAACUACUUCCCAGUUAGAUUUAAGAUUCUAAAUUUAUCAUGAAAAUUUAGAAAUAAAACAACAAUACCAAUAAUCAAUCAAGAACACAAUAUUAUAUCAUAUUAAAUAUCACCUCAAUACAUAAGAGUUUGAGCAGAUUACUCUCAAUCCCAAAGGGUAGAAUUUGCCACGCAAACUUCUAACACCUUCCAUUCUCCCAAUUGGUUACAAAUCACUCAAUGGUGUUUUUCUCUCAAAUCCCGCACACUUAUUGGUUUUUCUUAAAUAACAAAAUGAACAUCUUAAAGAAGAAGAACAUAUCUACAAUUCAAUUAUAGAGAACAUAUAUUUUAUCUAAUCACCACUUUCUUUCGAUGUCAUUUUUCCUCAUUUUCUUUCUGUCUUUUCAUGAUUCUCAUGAUAGAUUUUUUUUCUAUUUCUUUUUCUUCUUCUGUUUCUCUUUCUUUUUUUUCUUCCUUUUUUUCUACAAUUCAAACAUAAGAUGUUCUUCCUUCUUAUUAUAUCAUAUUAAAUAUCAUCUCAAUACAUAACAGUUUGAGCAGAUUACUCUCAAUCCCAAAGGGUAGAAUUUGCCACGCAAACUUCUAACACCUUCCAUUCUCCCAAUUGGUUACAAAUCACUCAAUGGUGUUUUUCUCUCAAAUUCCGCACACUUAUUGGUUUUUCUUAAAUAACAAAAUGAACAUCUUAAAGAAGAAGAACAUAUCUACAAUUCAAUUAUAGAGAACAUAUAUGUUAUCUAAUCACCACUUUCUUUCGAUGUCAUUUUUCCUCAUUUUCUUUCUGACUUUUCAUGAUUCUCAUGAUAGAUUUUUUUUCUAUUUCUUUUUCUUCUUCUGUUUCUCUUUCUCUUUUUUCUUCCUUUUUCUCUACAAUUCAAACAUAAGAUGUUCUUCCUUCUUAUUAUAUCAUAUUAAAUAUCACCUCAAUACAUAACAGUUUGAGUAGAUUACUCUUAAUCCCAAAGGGUAGAAUUUGCCACACAAACUUCUAACACCUUCCAUUCUCCCAAUUGGUUACAAAUCACUCAAUGGUGUUUUUCUCUCAAAUCCCGCACACUUAUUGGUUUUUCUUAAAUAACAAAAUGAACAUCUUAAAGAAGAAGAACAUAUCUACAAUUCAAUUAUAAAGAACAUAUAUGUUAUCUAAUCACCACUUUCUUUCGCUGUCAUUUUUCCUCAUUUUCUUUCUGACUUUUCAUGAUUCUCAUGAUAGAUUUUUUUUUUCUAUUUCUUUUUCUUCUUCUGUUUCUCUUUCUUUUUUUUCUUCCUUUUUUUCAGUAAUAGGAAAAUAUUCUUCCUAUUUUUAACUUUUUGAGUUUUCACAAUCAGAACCAACCAUUCCCUUUUAUAUAUAUAUAUAUAUUGCAUUUAUGUUCUCCUUCCUUAAACAUGGUAGGAAAAUAUAUCAUCAAAGGUUAAUGUGCAAUAAUAACAAAAAUCUUAGCCUAAAGGGGAUACAUCACAAAAAAUGGAAUUCUAAUAAGAUAAAGGUUGACUAUUUGGCCACGGGUUCCUAAUUAACACAAGCAAUUGCCUCAAUCAUAUUCAUUCUCUCUUAUGAUGCAACAAAAAUAAAAAUUAAGCAACCACAACUAUCAAUUCAUCAGUAAAACUCUCAAAACUGUUUAAGGUUCACACACUCUCACUUGGUUUAAUUGGCAUCAUUCUUUUUUGUCUUGUCAUUCUUUGUCCUAAUCAAUCAUCAUGUUAAAUUUUCAUGUAUAAUAAUUUCAACUACAUUUGAAUAGGGAUUCAAUCAUAUUUUCUUUUUUAACUUGUGUCUAAUUCAUCUCACUAUCUAACAUUUAAACACAAAUUCCUUUUUUUUUUCUUUCCAAUUCAAAAUUAAUAUUCUAGUUCCUUUUAUUUGCGAAAAAAAAAACUAAAACAUAAAUUUAUUCAAGAAAUAUAAUCUAAGACAUAAAACUAACAAAACAACAAAUUUAUUCAAACUAUAAAAUAAACAAAUAAACCAAAUAACCAAAAAAUAAAAAAAAUGAAAACAUAAAAAAAAAACAAAAUUCAAAUAACUAAAAAGAAAAGAUAAUUAAAAAGAUAAAAACAUACUUUUGCUCAAUCCUCUCUUUCUAAGAAGUCAUCCAACUUUUUGUUAAAAUCUUCCUCUAUAGUCUUUCUUCAUUUGUUGGAUCUGCCCCCCUUGAACAAUAUAACCUGUCCUCAGGCCAAAAAUGUAUAACCUGCAAAAUAAUUAGGAGACAUAUAGGAAUCAAGGUGCCUUUCAGAAUUUUUUAAUUUUUUUAUUAUAUAUAUAUAUAUAUAUAUUUAAUAAUAAAUAAAUAAAUAAAAAAUAAAAAAUAAAAAAUAAAAAACUAAAAAUUUGAGAAAGGAAAGGAAAAGGAAAAAAAAAUUAAUUCUUUUUUGCAAAAAGUUUCUAGCUUGAGCGAGAAUUUCGUCGCCAACCUCGCUUGAGUGAGAAUCCGUGUAGAAAACUCAAAUUUUUCGUUGUAAAACUCGCUUGAGUGUCAUUGUCUCGCUUGAGCAAGAUUCCCUGCAUGAAGACUCUAUUUUUUUACUUCAAACUCGCUCAAGCAAGAGUUGACUCGCCUAGGCAAAAAUCCCUACAAGAAAACAUGACUUUUGAAAGGUAAAAUCAAAACAAAAAUAACAAAACAACAUAAAACUAAAAUGUGGGUUGGGUUGCCUCGCAGUAAGCACUCGUUUAACGUCAUCUAGCUUGAUUCCUGUUUAUUUCAAGGUGGAAAUCUCUCUUUGAUCCAUCCUUCUAUACAAAUUCUUUUCCUGGAUUAAAAUUUUUUAGACCAUAAAAAAGAUUUAUAAAGUUACCUCCUUAUUUUGAGUUCUGACUUGAAGUUUUCCUUUGUCAACAUCAACUAUGAUUCUAGCAGUCUUCAUGAAAGGUCUUCCAAGUAUCAAGGGAACCUCCUCAUCUUCUUUCAUGUCCAUUACAACAAAAUCCACAUGGAAUGUGAAUUUAUCCACCUUAACGAGAACAUCUUCAACCACACCAUAUGAAUACUUGGUUACUCAAUCAGGUAACUUUAAAGUCAUCUUUGUAGGUUUAAUCUCCAAAUCACCUAUUUUCUUUAGUAUUGCCAAAAGAAUUAUAUUUACGCUUGCCCCCAAAUCCACUAAAGCAUUGUCCACAAAUAAAGUACCUAUAGACACGGGAAGGUUAAAAUUCCAUGGGUCCUUAGAUUUUUUAGGCAAGCCUUUUUGCAUAAUGACACUGUAUCUAUCAUUAAGCUCUAUAUUUAUCUCUUCAAUAUAAAUCUUGUUCUUUCGAAAUCUCUCAAGUGUUGAAUCUUGCUUCAUAUUUACUGUAAAAUAAUUUUUGUUGAAGAUGGGAAGCUUUGAUGUGUCAAAUCCAAAUGAAGCUUGAAGCUGAGUGAUGUUUUAAGUUUAGGUUUUAGUUUGGGGUUUACAAUCUUUGUAAGAUCAGUUUUGAUUCUCAGACAAAGCUCAUUUCAAAUUGUUUUUAAAGAUUAAUGUGUUUUUCCAUGCAAAGGGAAAAACAACCGAUUAAAGUUUCGAAAUAAUCGGUUAUUUGUAACUUAGCUGGCAAAGAAGGUUUUGAAACUGUUUUAUAACCGACAUGAGCAUUCAACCGGUUAAAUCUUGGUUUUAACUGAUUAAAUGUAUGUCCUUGUAACAACUUUUUGAAAAUCUAUUUCAAUUGAUUUGGUUGUUUAGAUUUGCUUUAACGUUAGCAUUUCAAGUAUUAUAAAUAUGUUUAUGAUUCAAACGUUUAAAGAUUGAUGAAACCAUAAAACUUUUGAUACUUUGAGUUGAGAUUGAUUUGAGAGAUUACAAAACUAUUUGUGAAAAGGUUUCUACCAAGUUUUUAGCAAGAUUGUUUUGUGCUUUGUUGUCUUUUAAAGAACUGAUCUAUAAGGUGCUGGUGUAUUGUGUUUUACCAGAUGUUUUCUAAUCCUGUUCAAGUUCUUGUAAUUGUUCAUAUAACAUUUUGUAUAACUGUGUAAAAUCCUGUAAAGUCAGUGAGAUUCUGGCUUGAGGUGGUUGUUGUGUGCAAAGAGGGUGAGUAGGCUUUGUGGGAUUUAAAGUCACCUCUUUGUGGGUGAUGUUUGUGUAAUUUGUGAUUGAUUGCUUAGUGGAUACUCAGUGGUUUGACUGAGGACGAUGUAGCUCUGUGAUUAAGUGAACCAAUAUAAUCUUUGUGUGUGAUUCUCUCUGUCUCAUCUCUCAUUAAACUAUUUAUAUUUUUCGCUGUCAUAAACAACCGGUUAAAUCGCAAUUUUAACCGAUUGAUUUUCUGAUUCCAGUUUUUGUUUGACUAUCGAAUUGGUUUUCUGAAUUGCUUUUCUGAGUUGUUUGUUAGAGCUUCAUUCUAAGAAAAACAUUUGUGAAAAUAGUUUGAAAACAAUUCACCCCCCUCUUGUUGUAGCCAUCAAACCUAACAAUUUUUAGGGAGCAAAUUGUC